AACAGGUCUUUGAACUAGUGGCGAACGGGUGAGUAUCACGUGAGCAACCUGUCCCGGAGACUGGGAUAACAGUGGGAAACCGCUGCUAAUACCGGAUGUACCUACCCGGCUGCAUGGCUGGGUUGGGAAAUGCUUUUGCGCUUCGGGAGGGGCUCGCGGCCUAUCAGCUAGUUGGUGGGGUAAUGGCCUACCAAGGCGUCGACGGGUGGCUGGUCUGAGAGGACGAUCAGCCACACUGGGACUGAGACACGGCCCAGACUCCUACGGGAGGCAGCAGUGGGGAAUCUUGCGCAAUGGGCGAAAGCCUGACGCAGCAACGCCGCGUGAGGGAUGAAGGCCUUCGGGUUGUAAACCUCUUUCGUACAGGGACGAUUGUGACGGUACCUGUAGAAGAAGCUCCGGCCAACUACGUGCCAGCAGCCGCGGUAAU
rnacentral:rRNA from 1 species